GUCCUCCUCAUCAGAUGAAAAGAAAACCACAUUAGAGUUUGCAGAACGGAGUAGCCAACUGUCAAACUGAGCCCUGAGAAAACAUGGAACUGCUGAAAACCCACACUGCCUUAUCUCUUCCUAAGAACCAAUGUGUGAAGAGCUACGUCAUCUUGCGACUUCCUCUUACCCAUCACUCCCUCCUCCCUCGGUGAGGUCUUCUCUUAUUGCCCGACCCAUUUUGACCGUCCUCUCCUAUGAAUUCUUAGCACUUAUUUUCAUUGCCACUUAUUUGGA